AUUGAACGCUGGCGGCAGGCCUAACACAUGCAAGUCGAACGAGUGGCGGACGGGUGAGUAAUGUCUGGGAAACUGCCUGAUGGAGGGGGAUAACUACUGGAAACGGUCGCUAAUACCGCAUACCAUCGGAUGUGCCCAGAUUGGAUUAGCUAGUAGGUGUGGUAAGGCUCACCUAGGCGACGAUCCCUAGCUGGUCUGAUAUGAUGACGAUCCACACUGGAACUGAGACACGGUACAGAGUCCUACGGGAGGCAGCAGUGGGGAAUUUUGCACGAUGGGCGCAAGCCUGGUGCAGCCAUGCCGCGUGUAUGAUGAAGACCUUCGGGUUGUAAAGUACUUUCAGCGUGAGGGCUUUACCCGCAGAAGAAGCGGCGGCUAACUCCGUGCCAGCAGCCGCGGUAAUUC
rnacentral:rRNA from 1 species